rnacentral:tRNA from 1 species
UCCCUGGUGGUCUAGUGGAUAGGACUCAGUGCUUUCACCACUGCAGUCCAGGUUCAAUUCCUGGUCUGCGAA